CCCCGGGAGUGCAGGAAGACGGCAAGGAUGAUGGAAGUCGACCCAGAGGAUGCCUAAGGCCAAGAAGGAUGCUAGAGGAAGCUGGAGCUCUCGAAGAAGAGGAGGGGAACCAAGGAAUUCUCUCAGGCAAACUGAGACACUUGAAGGAGGAAAACAUGUUUAAAUAGACCCCGGGAUCUGACGCAAUAAUGAUUGCGGA
rnacentral:lncRNA from 1 species